rnacentral:rRNA from 1 species
UCGAACGAGAAAGGGGAGCAAUCCCUGAGUACAGUGGCGUACGGGUGAGUAACACGUGGAUGAUCUACCCCUUAGUUUGGAAUAACCAUGGGAAACCGUGGCUAAUACCGGAUAAGCUCGAGAGAGGAAAGCAGCAAUGCGCUGAGGGAGGAGUCCGCGGCCGAUUAGCUAGUUGGUAGGGUAAAAGCCUACCAAGGCAAAGAUCGGUAGCCGGCCUGAGAGGGCACACGGCCACACUGGCACUGAAACACGGGCCAGACUCCUACGGGAGGCAGCAGUGGGGAAUCUUGCACAAUGGGGGAAACCCUGAUGCAGCGACGCCGCGUGAGCGAUGAAGCCCUUCGGGGUGUAAAGCUCUUUCGUCAGGGAAGAUGGUGACGGUACCUGGAGAAGCAGCUGCGGCUAACUACGUGCCAGCAGCCGCGGUAAUACGUAGGCAGCAAGCGUUGUUCGGAGUUACUGGGCGUAAAGGGUGUGUAGGCGGUUUUUUAAGUUUGGUGUGAAAUCUCCCGGCUCAACUGGGAGGGUGCGCCGAAUACUGAAAGACUAGAGUGCGGGAGAGGAAAGUGGAAUUCCUGGUGUAGCGGUGAAAUGCGUAGAUAUCAGGAGGAACACCGGUGGUGUAGACGGCUUUCUGGACCGUAACUGACGCUGAGACACGAAAGCGUGGGUAGCAAACAGGAUUAGAUACCCUGGUAGUCCACGCCCUAAACGAUGCAUAUUUGGUGUGGGCAGUUCAUUCUGUCCGUGCCGGAGCUAACGCGUUA